rnacentral:rRNA from 1 species
UACGUAGGGGGGCAAGCGUUGUCCGGAAUCAUUGGGCGUAAAGAGCGCGUAGGCGGUCCGGUAAGUCCGCUGUGAAAGUCAAGGGCUCAACCCUUGAAUGCCGGUGGAUACUGUCGGGCUAGAGUCCGGAAGAGGCGAGUGGAAUUCCUGGUGUAGCGGUGAAAUGCGCAGAUAUCAGGAGGAACACCAAUGGCGAAGGCAGCUCGCUGGGGACGGUACUGACGCUGAGGCGCGAAAGCGUGGGGGAGCAAACAGG